rnacentral:lncRNA from 1 species
UAGAGGAUAAUUGGUUCCAGCUUUCCUUUCGUUUUGUGGGAUGUUUUUUUUUUAGGAUUACCAAGCUUUAUUAAGAAUACCCACAUAUAGUGGGAUACAAGCAAGAUCAUGGGAUUGGCCAAGCCAAACGUGACGUCCCAGACCUAAAGACAAAGAGUACUUGGCUAGUUUAUGAGCUUCUACAUUCGUCCUGUGACUUUCGAAAGUAAAUAUACAUUGAAACAAACUGGAAUAUGAGUUGAUCUCACUAAUAAUUGCUCCGUUCCCGCCUCUGGAUAUGGUAUUUAUG